UAGUUGAAUGAUGGCAAUCAUCUUUCGGGACUGGGCCUGUAAAUGAAGAGCCUACUUCUAAUUGCUG